UCAUUAUCACUAUUCAAGCCCGGCUUGCUGUUGGACACUUUGUCGAUAAAAGACAUGUCCUAAAGAUAAUGACGGUGUCGUGAUCGACCCUAAAUGCAACGAGCUUUUUAUAGCACGCAUUGAAGUGGUCGGCCGACCCAGUCUUUAACCAUUUUCUUAAGGUUGACCUCGGAUCAGGUAGGAAUACCCGCUGAACUUAA
rnacentral:misc_RNA from 1 species